AUGCUUAACACAUGCAAGUCGAACGGAAACGAUGGAAGCUUGCUUCCAGGCGUCGAGUGGCGGACGGGUGAGUAAUGCUUGGGAAUCUGCCUAAUAGUGGGGGAAAACUCGGGGAAACUCGGGCUAAUACCGCAUAAUCUCUUCGGAGGAAAGAGGGCCUCUACAUGUAAGCUCUCGCUAAUAGAUGAGCCCAAGUCAGAUUAGCUUGUUGGUGAGGUAAAAGCUCACCAAGGCUACGAUCUGUAGCUGGUCUGAGAGGACGAUCAGCCACACUGGGACUGAGACACGGCCCAGACUCCUACGGGAGGCAGCAGUGGGGAAUAUUGCACAAUGGGCGCAAGCCUGAUGCAGCAAUGCCGCGUGUGUGAAGAAGGCCUUAGGGUUGUAAAGCACUUUCAAUAGAGAAGAAAAGCUUAGAGUUAAUAACUCUAAGCAUUGACGUAACCUAUAGAAGAAGCACCGGCUAAAUCCGUGCCAGCAGCCGCGGUAAUACGGAUGGUGCGAGCGUUAAUCGGAAUUACUGGGCGUAAAGCGCGCGUAGGCUGUUUUAUAAGUCGGAUGUGAAAUCCCCGGGCUCAACCUGGGAACUGCAUCCGAAACUAUUUAACUAGAGUAUGGGAGAGGUAAGUAGAAUUUCCGGUGUAGCGGUGAAAUGCGUAGAUAUCUGAAGGAACACCAGUGG
rnacentral:rRNA from 1 species